AUCGAUGAAAGAAUGGCACAAGUCUUUAAAGGAAUGGAUAGAUGCCAGCCUCAAACUCAAGUUGAAGAGAAAGAAAACUAUUUCUCUUCAGAUGACCCGAGUUGCAUCUAAAAUUUUUUUUAUUAAUCUACAUAAAUAAGGAUCAAGUCCUUACUUGAUUAGCAAUGAAAUCAGAGAUCAAAUCUCAAAUAACCUGAAUAAAAUCUUCAUGAAGGCCUGAAAAUACAGAUCCUCUACUUCGCAUGCAC
rnacentral:lncRNA from 1 species